CCAUAAAGAAAAAGUGAACGCUUAAAAGAAAACCAAACGCUGCAAAAGCAGAAAAUGUUAGCAAUAACAAAACUGCCGCAUAUGCGUCGCUGUCUCGCAUGUGUGUGAGAGAGUCUCAGCGAGAGAGAGAUAGAGAGCGAAAGAGCAAGCAACUAACAACAAACGCAAAAUACUACAAUCCAACGCAGUUGUGAAUCGCGAGAGAGAGAGAGAGAGAGAGAGAGCGCGCAAACGCACUCACUAACAAAUACCACAUUCCACAAUACAAAACAAUAGAGAUAUUUUCGGUCUUGUCUGCGCCGGAAGGCGAAGCGUGUUUCAGAUUGACGAGAGCCAGCAACGCGUCGAGUUUGCUAUUUAGCGACGUGCGCGUAAAAAACAAUAGGCGACAACUACAAAGAAAAAAAAAACAAAAUACAACAACAAAAAAAUAAUCAAAACGAGUGAGUGUGUGAGCGCAAGAGUGAGUGAGUAAGUGAGUGAGUGAAUGAUUAUUUGCCACCCACAAAGCGAAUGUGUGUGAAGUGUCACUCACACACACACACACACACGCACACAUAUGCAAACAAACAAGCAGGCAGCAAACGCAAAAUAAAAAAAAAACAACAAAACGUAACGCAACGUAACGAAACGGAACGCAAAGAGAAAAACGCCCACCGUCUCCGCCCCCCUCUUUGUCACUCUCGCGCGUGUUACUGUUGCCACAAGCAACCAUCACGUCACAGUAGUAGUUGAAGAAGAAGAAGAAGAAGCAGCAGCAGCAACAGCAGAAGCAGCAGCAUAUAAAGAAGAAGAAGAGAGCCGCCGUUUGGAGCCCUGCGCAGAAAUCGAUUUUUUGUUAUUGCCCCCCCUCGAAAUUCGUUGUGUGUGCAAAUGUGUUAAAUGAGAGCAAGAAGUAAAGCAGAUGCAAAACGUAAACCAAUAACCAAAUCGAAAACGAAACCGUAACCCAAUCGCAUUGCACUUGCACCUGCUAAUUCGUGUGAAAAGCAACGAUAAGUGCAAAAUCAGAAAAAGAGAUCAACAACAUCCAAUACCGAUACACGCUGCUGCCCCGCCCACCAACACUCCUCGUGCGUCGGAGUGAGUGUGUGUAUAUGAAUGUGUGUGCGUGUUCAAAGAUCGGCAAGUGCAUAACAAAACACUCAAUAAAACAACAAGAAAUAAUAAUAUGCUUAAUAAAAAAGAGUCCCACGCAAAACAAAAAAUAAACAGCAACUAAAAUAUAUAAACCAAGUAUUUGGCUGUUGCCGUGAGUCAUCUAUAUAUUUUAUUAAAUAAAGUUGUUGCUGCUCUCUCACAUUGGCAUUGAGCAGCUCGUGCUUGGUGGUGUUAGUGUCUUGUCUUCGUGUUGCUGUCACUUUGGUGCUCUCUCUCUUUUAGCGGCUCUCUUGAGCGCAAAACACGCGCGGCCGUUAAAGAAAAAAAAAAAAAAAAACCGACUGCCAAAGAAAUAUACAUAUAUAUAAAUAUAUUUACGUGUAUAUGUAUUAAGUUAAAAAAAAGAUAAAAUAAAGUGAGGUGCGUGUAGAAAACAUAACAACAAAAGUAACUGAGAGUUGAGAAUUGCAACAAACAAAUAAACAACAACAAAAGUGCGAUACGUAUUUAUUUAGGCCAUGCGAAAAAUCAUUUAGCGGUCACACAAAUCUACGGAAAAAUCAAUAGUAACUUUGCAAGGCAGCAGCAGUCAAAAGAAAACAGAAAAAAAGAUAAAAACAAAGAAAAAAAACAGUGACGGAAAAUCGUGCGAACAAGUUGAGCAACAAAAGUUGACAGUUAACAACUAACUGCUAAAUUAACAACAACAACUUAAAACCGCCACAACAAAAAGCUUACGUAAAAAAAACUCGCGUUAAACGGCAACUAUAAAUUGCAAUUGCAACUCAAAAAUCAACGAAGGAGCAACUCAACUAAAACUUUAACUCAAAACAGAAAAACAGAGGGAUCGCGAAGCUAGCGCUCUUAAAACAGAAACUGCUAAGAAUUGAGUAGAAAAAAAGUAACUCAAAAAUCAACGAAGGAAGGAAAAGGAGCUAGCAACAGCAAGCGCUCUUUAACUCAACUUGAACUUGAACUCAAAAGAUCGCUCAACUAGAGCGCUCUCUCUUAAAACUUCCUGCUUAGAAUUGAGUGGUAAACAAAAGUAAAAGAUCAUGACGAAAGACAGAUUAGCCGCAUUACAUGCCGCUCAGUCGGACGAUGAGGAAUCGGAGGAUGUGGCCGUCAAUGUGGAUGGUCAUGAUUCCUAUAUGGAUGAUUUCUUUGCCCAGGUGGAGGAAAUACGUGGCAUGAUCGAUAAGGUGCAGGAUAAUGUCGAGGAAGUGAAAAAGAAACAUUCGGCCAUAUUAUCGGCACCACAAUCCGAUGAGAAGACCAAACAGGAGCUGGAAGAUUUGAUGGCCGAUAUCAAGAAGAAUGCGAAUCGUGUGCGUGGCAAACUUAAGGGAAUCGAACAAAAUAUCGAACAGGAGGAGCAACAAAAUAAAUCAUCGGCCGAUUUGCGUAUACGUAAAACGCAGCAUUCAACAUUAUCCCGUAAAUUUGUCGAGGUGAUGACCGAAUAUAAUCGAACUCAAACCGAUUAUCGAGAGCGUUGCAAGGGAAGAAUACAGCGACAACUGGAGAUAACGGGACGUGCCACCACAAGCGAAGAAUUGGAAGAUAUGUUGGAGCAGGGAAAUCCCGCUGUCUUCACCCAGGGCAUCAUUAUGGAAACGCAACAGGCGAAACAAACAUUAGCCGAUAUCGAGGCACGACAUGCCGAUAUUAUGAAAUUGGAGACAUCGAUUAAGGAGCUACACGAUAUGUUUAUGGAUAUGGCCAUGUUGGUGGAGUCACAGGGUGAAAUGAUCGAUCGCAUUGAGUAUCAUGUGGAGCAUGCUAUGGAUUAUGUGCAGACAGCAACUCAGGAUACUAAAAAGGCGCUCAAAUAUCAAAGUAAAGCGCGACGAAAGAAGAUCAUGAUACUGAUCUGCUUAACUGUACUCGGUAUCAUAGCUGCUGCAUAUUUAAGCAGUUUUGUGAUUAUCAAAGCCAGCAAGUAGCAUGCGUACUUAAACUAUACAUAAAUCAUAAUUAUAAACAAUAUGAAAUGCAUAACUAACAACAACAACAAAUAGCACACACUAACCUAAGCUAACUAAAUAAAUAAAUAAUAAAUUGUUUGUCGAGAAAAUGCUUUUGCUUAAGUAGGAAUUGCACCUGUAAGCACAACAGAAACAACAACAACAACUAGAACAACAAUAACUUAAACAACGCGAAAGAAAUUUCAAAUAAUUUCUAGUUCACUGCAACCUUGCAACAUAUUUGCUGCACUUAUCUAACAUGCAACAAAUGGCACGCAUAUUCAAUUUUGCACAAACACAACACUGCAACAACGACAACAACGGCAACAACAACUACAACAACAUUGUUGUGUAAGCAAAACUUCGUAUUAUGGCAGUCAAUCAAACUGCAAUUUGUCAACAUUUUUGACUACAAUUCAAUGUGCUUUGAGUCACGCCCACUGUCCAUAACAACAACAACAACAACAACGGCAGCAACAACAACAAUAGCAGCAGCAACGAGAAUAACAACAACAAGAGAAACGCUCUUCAAAAAACGUGAUAAACAUGCAAAAGUUAACAUUGAAACGCGCAAUUCCAGUUUACAAAAUCUCCAAAAAUUUCGCCUCUUCAGAUGCAACUGCCAAAACGUCAUUUCCACAUACAAGAUGAUAACCAACCAACAAAAAGGGAAAGGCCAAAGCAACAACAGCAAAAGGAAACUGCAGAGAAGAGGCGGGAAAAUAAAUUGGUGAAAAAGUCACGUAGCUUCAGGUGGC